GCAUUUGCUUUUAUUUAACAGCAAUUUAUUCAUGUUUAAAGAUAUGUUUGAACUGAGAAAAAAUAAGAAAAAUAUGAACUUAGUUCAUUUCUUUUGUAUAGGAUCAGAUCUGUUUCAUUUUAAAAAGCUUGGAAGAACAGAGAAUUUUCAGUCUCAUAAAUGUCCAUCUUUGUAAAUCUCUACAGUACCCCCUCCUACAGCUGCCAGAAACACUUCCACUUGAAUCCAUGCCCCCUGAGGAUAAACCUGUUACACGCACCAAGACAGAAAUUUUCUGUAUUGAUAAGAAUUUGCCUUGUGUAACAGCAGGUUUUAAAAACAUUUCUGCUUUCAGCAUUGCUCCUGUUUCAGGACAAAGCUUGAGCAUCAGGCUUAACAGAGGAACUGUUAAUACAGUGUGAGUUUGGAUCUAAGGAUUAUUCCAACUUGUAAAAGAAACAAACACCUCUUGUCACAAAAGGUGUAGGAACACAAACAUCCAGCUUCUCUCAGUAUAAUUCAAACUUCCUUGUAGAUCAUUUGGCACCGCUGACUGAUAAUUAGAACAUAAAUUUUAAAAUCAGCACUAUAGUUGAAAUACUUAAUCUUCUCUGAGCAACUGAAGACUUUUGGGAUUUUAUGUGCAUGCAUCUAGGGAAAACAUUACUAAUUCUCCAAACAAACUGAUGUGAGUGAGGCACCCUGGUGAAACGUCUGCUGAGCCUACAAAUAUUUCCUUUUUCUGUGAUAAGACUUUUAAUGCUCUGGCUUUAAGAAAAACAAAGUAAUUUGUAUUUAAAAGGAGAGUUAUCUCAGGGUUUAUUACGACCUGGUGAGAAGACUGCAACAAGGGUUUUGUAAAUGUGAAUCCAUAAAAACAAAAUCAUACAGCUCAACUAGGCACAGGCAGAAGAAACAGAAAAAGCAGUGGGAAAUCUGGUUCUUGACUGGGAAGAUGUCUCCCAGAGCAAUGUGCUCCCAUUACUGCAGCCCUUUGCCACAGCAGAGGCAUCAGUUCAGUGAGGAAUCAGCUCCCACCCUGCAGCUGCUGGGGACAGGCACAGCCAUUGUGUCCUCCUUCCUCCAUGGCCACCUGCUCAAGGCUGAGGAAGAAUCCCCUGUAGAAACCCAAGUAAGCCCAAAUCGCACCAAGUGCUUGAGCUGUGGGAACAUUUCUGUUUCCUUGUGCCCAUGCUCUGCUCAUUGAGCUGUUAUUCCUUGGAUUAUUGCCACAGUGCUCUCCAGUGCUGCCCCAGACUCAGUUCCACACCAGACUGGUUGGACUCUAGGCUGGACAUGGCUUGCCUCUUUACUACCAAUGAUCCACUAGCAAAAAUUUUAUGAACACAUUUCUUCACAGAUUUGACUCUGCCUUAUUGAAUUGUUUUUGCUUAUAUUAAAAAAAUGUAAUAAAAUCCACGACUUUUGUAAGCAACAAACAGCUGAAUAAAUUUAUAAUCAAAAGAAUAUGCUUUCAAGUAAAAUAGUUCUGAAAAACAGACAAAGCCAAAUUCAUGUCAUAUUAAGUGAAAUAAUUGUGUCCCUGGCUGAAGGGUAAUAGUCUUUUAAUAUGUAACAUGGAAUAUUUAUUUUUGUAGCAGUAACAGAGAAAUACUCAUCUAAUUGCAAACAGUCCUCAAAAAUAUAUUUGGACCACAGAUUUAAGACAUCUGAAUUCCAGAGACUGAAGGGAAGAAGGAUCUACAAAGAUCAAGUCCUAUCACAUGACUGACCUUCUCCCUAUAUAUACCUCUUUGUUCUUUUGAUAUUCAAGUUUGUAGUUCCCUAGUGAUUCCAAGAACUAAUAAGAAAUUCCUGGAGAGGAAAUAACAAUGAAAGCAGCUGGAAGACUAUCCUUUUUUUUUCUUUUUUUUUUUUUCUUCUAUAUCUCAUGUUAGACUUCCACAUGUCAUCUUGGCCAAAUGUCAAAUAAACUUAUGUUUAUUUUCAGAUUUUCAGACUUUGGUUUUUUGAGUAUGGCUCAAUUAACAAAAUAAAUGCUUAGUGUUACUAAACCUGGUGUGUCUCAGUUUUUGCAGAUUCCUAAAAUCCUCACCAAGUAAGAUUGCUGCUGCUAACUAGCUUGCUGGAGCCCUGGGUCUUUCUGAGAGCCCAUCAUCUAAAGUGUUCACUUUCUGGUUUAAAAAGGUCUCUCUACCUAUUCUGGUAG
rnacentral:lncRNA from 1 species